AUACGUAGGGGGCGAGCGUUGUCCGGAAUGAUUGGGCGUAAAGGGCGCGUAGGCGGCCCGGUAAGUCUGGAGUGAAAGUCCUGUUUUUAAGAUGGGAAUUGCUUUGGAUACUGUCGGGCUUGAGUGCAGGAGAGGUAAGUGGAAUUCCCAGUGUAGCGGUGAAAUGCGUAGAGAUUGGGAGGAACACCAGCGGCGAAGGCGACUUACUGGACUGUAACUGACGCUGAGGCGCGAAAGUGUGGGGAGCAAACAGGAUUAGAUACCCUGGUAGUCCACACUGUAAACGAUGAAUGCUAGGUGUAGGGGGUAUCGACCCCUUCUGUGCCGCAGUCAACACAAUAAGCAUUCCGCCUGGGGAGUACGGCCGCAAGGUUGAAACUCAAAUGAAUUGACGGGG
rnacentral:rRNA from 1 species